UUCCAGUUUGCUUUCUAAUUAGUUCCUUACAAAGUACUUUAUUAAAGCUGUGAUUGACAUUUUUCUUAAUGAAUCCUCUCAGGACAAUGUAUAGCCUGUGGUAAGUACAAAGGGAGAGGAAGAUGUUUUGAACUUUAAAAGCUUUAUUAUCAGUAUACCCCUCCCCAACUGAAUGUUGUUCUCUUUUGGUUCCAUUAAGUCAAAAUACAAAUCAGCACAGAUACUGUUUCCAAUAUUUUAAAUGUCAUGUUAGUUAUGAAAAAAAGUAUUUUACUUACGGUUGUGUAUGUAUUAUGUAUAUACCUCAAGUUCAAGUUAAUGGCUUUGAUUUGUGUUCUAAAGAAAAGCAAAUAAUGCAAAAAUUAGUAAUAUCCUUAGUUAUUGCCCUAAUGAGAUAAGUACUGGCAUUGGUAUUAAGUGCCAUUUUAUACUUUUCCUGUAUGUUUUCUGUAUUGUACUAAUCAAACGUCCCCUCUCCCCCAAUCAUUGAGCUGCUCUUAAGAAAAAAAAAAGAUACAGGAAAAAGCUUGAUAUUGUGUACCCAUUUUUGUUGAUCAGUAACACACAUAGAAACGUGUAAUCCAACUAAGUAAAAUAUCUGUCAAAUUUUUGGCUUACCCAAUUGACAGAAUUGCACAGUGGAGCAUUUAUCAGAUUAAUCCUUG
rnacentral:lncRNA from 1 species